rnacentral:rRNA from 1 species
CACGUAGGCACCAAGCGUUGUCCGGAUUUAUUGGGCGUAAAGAGCUCGUAGGCGGUUCGGUAAGGCGGGUGUGAAAACUUUGGGCUCAACCCAAAGCGUGCACUCGAUACUGCCAUGACUAGAGUUCGGUAGGGGAGUGGGGAAUUCCUAGUGUAGCGGUGAAAUGCGCAGAUAUUAGGAGGAACACCGGUGGCGAAGGCGCCACUCUGGGCCGAAACUGACGCUGAGGAGCGAAAGCGUGGGUAGCAAACAGG